UCUGGAUGAGAUUUCCCAGGCUCUUUGGCCCCUAAACCAAAGAAAUCGAGAGAUCAAAGAACGUUUUAGCAGCUGUGGUAAAGGAAGGUUUUCCAGAUCUGAAGAAAAGUGUUUGAUUAAUCUCUUGCUCUUCUGCUCAACUUCUUAGAUCUACCAUCGUUCCUGUCAUAAUCUGAGUCCUGAGUAAAUGUAUGAAUUAAAACAAUAAGAGGAGACCUCAUCUCCCUGGCUUUCUUGCUGGUUGUCAUCGGUUUGAUCAGUGAGAUUCUGAAGUGGAAGGACAUCAGAGAAUAAAAGGUCUACAAGAGGAGUGACUGUCCUGUUUUGGUCAAAACUACAUUGGCAUUGCCUACUAAA